rnacentral:rRNA from 1 species
GACGAACCGUCCAAACGUUAUUCGGUAUCACUGGGCUUAAAGCGUGCGUAGGCGGCCUAGUAGGUGAGGUGUGAAAUCCCACGGCUCAACCGUGGAACUGCGCUUCAAACCACUAGGCUCGAGGAUGGCAGGGGUGAUGGGAACUGAUGGUGGAGCGGUGAAAUGCGUUGAUAUCAUCAGGAACACCGGUGGCGAAGGCGCAUCACUGGGCCAUUUCUGACGCUGAGGCACGAAAGCUAGGGUAGCGAACGGG